GACGAACGCGGGCGGCGUGCUUAACACAUGCAAGUCGAACGAAGAGCGAUGGAAGCUUGCUUCUAUCAAUUUUAGUGGCGAACGGGUGAGUAACGCGUAAUCAACCUGCCCUUCAGAGGGGGACAACAGUUGGAAACGACUGCUAAUACCGCAUACGAUCCAAUCUCGGCAUCGAGGAUGGAUGAAAGGUGGCCUCUAUUUAUAAGCUAUCACUGAAGGAGGGGAUUGCGUCUGAUUAGCUAGUGGGAGGGGUAACGGCCCACCAAGGCGAUGAUCAGUAGCCGGUCUGAGAGGAUGAACGGCCACAUUGGGACUGAGACACGGCCCAGACUCCUACGGGAGGCAGCAGUGGGGAAUCUUCCGCAAUGGACGAAAGUCUGACGGAGCAACGCCGCGUGAGUGAUGACGGCCUUCGGGUUGUAAAGCUCUGUUAAUCGGGACGAAAGGCCUUCUUGCGAAUAGUAGAAGGAUUGACG
rnacentral:rRNA from 1 species